rnacentral:rRNA from 1 species
CCUACGGGGGGCAGCAGUGGGGGAUAUUGCACAAUGGAGGAAACUCUGAUGCAGCGACGCCGCGUGAGGGAAGACGGUCUUCGGAUUGUAAACCUCUGUCUUUGGGGAAGAAAAUGACGGUACCCAAAGAGGAAGCUCCGGCUAACUACGUGCCAGCAGCCGCGGUAAUACGGAGGAUGCGAGCGUUAUCCGGAUUCAUUGGGUUUAAAGGGUGCGCAGGCGGGCCUUUAAGCCGGCGGUGAAAUCGCGGGGCUCAACCCCGCCGAGCCGUCGGAACUGGGGGCCUUGAGUGCGGCGGAGGCAUGCGGAAUGCGCGGUGUAGCGGUGAAAUGCAUAGAUAUCGCGCAGAACCCCGAUUGCGAAGGCAGCGUGCCGUGCCGCCACUGACGCUGAGGCACGAAAGCGCGGGGAUCGAACAGGAUUAGAUACCCUAGUAGUC